GAUGUUCAAAGCAAAUUGUGAGCUUUUUUGCGGAAAAGACAAGAAAACAAACCGCGUGUGUUGUGAUGGUUUCUAUUUUCAAUCGUUUUUUGUUGGUGUAAUCUUUAUUGUUUACUCGUAAAAGGGUGGAUGCCAACGAUUAUCAUCCGAUGGGUAUCACGACCAUCUAUUUUCUAUUCUUAAUAGGGCGACCCAAAGGUGUGGCUAGAAGUACAGAAAACAGCUCAACAUGCCUCGGUGAUCAAUCCCUUUGGAAAGGGCGCUUUAAUCAAUUUACUAAGACCGACGGGAAAACUUCACGUCGAUAGGCAGCUGAUCAGUGUUGGUUGUACCGGAUAUUCAAUGUUUGAAAACCAUCAGAUAUCGUAGCUUUCUUGCGUUCCGAGUGACAUCCGCAUAUUGAUUUCUGGCCAAAGGGCUAUAGCUAAAUGUGCCAACAGUCGCCAAAAUAUUUGGAAAUGAUUUCCGAUGGGAUUGGCUACUUUUCUACGUAAAUGGAUGCGGUUUCCGCUGGAGCUGCCAAACGAAACUAAAAAGCAGUUCGAAACCGAGCAUAAACGUUUGAAAAUACCAACCAGUGCCAAGAUCCCGCAUGAAAAUUUAAGAAAACUGAAAUGGGAUGAAAGCAAAUGUAAGCUUUUUGCCAGGACAACUUUUCCAACUAUCAAGAUUGCAUUAUGGUUCCGCCGGAGCAAGCUUCCAAGAUCGCGAUAAUCCUUCUCGUCCGAUCAGUUUGGAAGAAGAAACUGGUUCUGACGAUGGCCUUCACUAUAAUCCCAACGAUUCUGGUUGACUGCUGGAUAACUUUCGGCUUACGCAUAUUUGGUCCUUCCAUGUGGAUCUUCUACAGCGGUAACAAGAAAGGAUAACAUUUUUCAGAUCCUUCGUUCCUUUUUGGCAUUGACGUUGGCAACAUGAACGUUAAUCAGUUUCAGACGUUGAAAGAUCCGAUUUGAGCCAUGUGAGGUUUGCUGCUGAAAUAAAAAUAUGAAAUGAUAUUCCGACACCGAGGUGGCUUGUCGUAUUUGAAAUUGGCAAUAAAGAUUAUAUUUCUCCGCACUAGAA